rnacentral:rRNA from 1 species
UGCAGUCGAACGCACUCGACCUUCGGGUCAUAUGAGUGAGUGGCGAACGGGUGAGUAACACGUGAGAAACCUGUCCCGAAGACUGGAAUAACCCGAGGAAACUCGGGCUAAUACCGGAUAUCCCCACCGGAUCACAUGGUCUGGUGAGGAAAUGCUCCGGCGCUUCGGGAGGGUCUCGCGGCCUAUCAGUUAGUUGGUGAGGUAACGGCUCACCAAGGCAUCGACGGGUAGCUGGUCUGAGAGGACGAUCAGCCACACUGGGACUGAGACACGGCCCAGACUCCUACGGGAGGCAGCAGUGGGGAAUCUUGCGCAAUGGGCGAAAGCCUGACGCAGCCACGCCGCGUGAGGGAUGAAGGCUUUCGGGUUGUAAACCUCUUUCAGCAGGGACGAAAAUGACGGUACCUGCAGAAGAAGCUCCGGCCAACUACGUGCCAGCAGCCGCGGUAACACGUAGGGAGCAAGCGUUGUCCGGAUUUAUUGGGCGUAAAGAGCUCGUAGGCGGUUCGGUAAGUCGGGUGUGAAAACUUGAGGCUCAACCUCAAGAGGCCACUCGAUACUGCUGUGACUGGAGUCCGGUAGAGGAGUGUGGAAUUCCUGGUGUAGCGGUGAAAUGCGCAGAUAUCAGGAGGAACACCGACAGCGAAGGCAGCACUCUGGGCCGGUACUGACGCUGAGGAGCGAAAGCAUGGGGAGCGAACAGGAUUA